AGAGUUUGAUCCUGGCUCAGGAUGAACGCUGGCGGCGUGCCUAAUACAUGCAAGUCGAGCGAACGGACGAGAAGCUUGCUUCUCUGAUGUUAGCGGCGGACGGGUGAGUAACACGUGGAUAACCUACCUAUAAGACUGGGAUAACUUCGGGAAACCGNAGCUAAUACCGGAUAAUAUUUUGAACCGCAUGGUUCAAAAGUGAAAGACGGUCUUGCUGUCACUUAUAGAUGGAUCCGCGCUGCAUUAGCUAGUUGGUAAGGUAACGGCUUACCAAGGCAACGAUGCAUAGCCGACCUGAGAGGGUGAUCGGCCACACUGGAACUGAGACACGGUCCAGACUCCUACGGGAGGCAGCAGUAGGGAAUCUUCCGCAAUGGGCGAAAGCCUGACGGAGCAACGCCGCGUGAGUGAUGAAGGUCUUCGGAUCGUAAAACUCUGUUAUUAGGGAAGAACAUAUGUGUAAGUAACUGUGCACAUCUUGACGGUACCUAAUCAGAAAGCCACGGCUAACUACGUGCCAGCAGCCGCGGUAAUACGUAGGUGGCAAGCGUUAUCCGGAAUUAUUGGGCGUAAAGCGCGCGUAGGCGGUUUUUUAAGUCUGAUGUGAAAGCCCACGGCUCAACCGUGGAGGGUCAUUGGAAACUGGAAAACUUGAGUGCAGAAGAGGAAAGUGGAAUUCCAUGUGUAGCGGUGAAAUGCGCAGAGAUAUGGAGGAACACCAGUGGCGAAGGCGACUUUCUGGUCUGUAACUGACGCUGAUGUGCGAAAGCGUGGGGAUCAAACAGGAUUAGAUACCCUGGUAGUCCACGCCGUAAACGAUGAGUGCUAAGUGUUAGGGGGUUUCCGCCCCUUAGUGCUGCAGCUAACGCAUUAAGCACUCCGCCUGGGGAGUACGACCGCAAGGUUGAAACUCAAAGGAAUUGACGGGGACCCGCACAAGCGGUGGAGCAUGUGGUUUAAUUCGAAGCAACGCGAAGAACCUUACCAAAUCUUGACAUCCUUUGACAACUCUAGAGAUAGAGCCUUCCCCUUCGGGGGACAAAGUGACAGGUGGUGCAUGGUUGUCGUCAGCUCGUGUCGUGAGAUGUUGGGUUAAGUCCCGCAACGAGCGCAACCCUUAAGCUUAGUUGCCAUCAUUAAGUUGGGCACUCUAAGUUGACUGCCGGUGACAAACCGGAGGAAGGUGGGGAUGACGUCAAAUCAUCAUGCCCCUUAUGAUUUGGGCUACACACGUGCUACAAUGGACAAUACAAAGGGCAGCGAAACCGCGAGGUCAAGCAAAUCCCAUAAAGUUGUUCUCAGUUCGGAUUGUAGUCUGCAACUCGACUACAUGAAGCUGGAAUCGCUAGUAAUCGUAGAUCAGCAUGCUACGGUGAAUACGUUCCCGGGUCUUGUACACACCGCCCGUCACACCACGAGAGUUUGUAACACCCGAAGCCGGUGGAGUAACCUUUUAGGAGCUAGCCGUCGAAGGUGGGACAAAUGAUUGGGGUGAAGUCGUAACAAGGUAGCCGUAUCGGAAGGUGCGGCUGGAUCACCU
rnacentral:rRNA from 1 species